ACAGGUACUUAAAACCUGGUUUAUUUCCUGGAGCUGCUUUUUAUUUCCUGCUACCCUUGACUCGGAAGAACAGCAGGUUACCUUCCUUCUGUGAAACACAGCACAACCAAACUGAAAGCCUGCCAAUUAGCAAAACCCACGCUCGUUUUCACUUCUGUCAGCUUGAGAAGAGAACAUGAAAUUCUUGCUAUAUUUAGACUACUCAGUAUCCACAGCAUGAAUCAGAGGAUCAAUCCAAACUCACAAGCUAAUUAAUGCAUUUGUUCCCUAUCAAAUUCAACUCUCACCAGGCAAGUAAAAACAGUGACGACAGUUUUGCCUUUCAAUUGUCUCUGCAAGUCAGGAGUAGGAACCUGCACUUUAGUUUGUUAUGUAAACAGGACUGGGGACACAACAGCCUGUUCUUUCCCAGCUGAUAUGUCUGCAAACACUGGGCAGACCCAUCUGGGCAAAACAAGACGGAGGUAAUGAAAAGGGGGGCACUGGUGUUAGAGACAAAGUCCAAGAUGGACAGUUCUAGAUGGAAAUCUGCCUUGAGGUUCUCCACCUGAUUCUGUUCAUCUGUACAUGCUUUCCUGGAGACAAACAGCUCCUACAGACAGGCAGGGAAACACAGCACAUAAAGCGGGAUGAGAUGAUUAAAACUAUAGUUUUACAGGCUGCCUGCUGCUCGGCAGAUGGAAAUUUUCCAGGCUGCCAGAAGAAAAGGGGAAGAAAAGGAAACCCGGAAGAAAGCGAAGGCAUGCCUGCUGCCCCGAGGGAGCCGACGUAUGUGAAAAGGAAUGUACAGCUCCAAGUGCACUUGCUCCGUGUGCCUUCCCAACCCCACGGAUGUGGGCAGGACCGUACGGUUCUGGGUGUUAAACUCGCCUUAAAGCAGGUCUGCUAAUAGGUCAGAAGAGACCAGAAAACCUGUGGCUGUGGUGAAGUGCCCAGUAUUUAAGCACCAGCUUUCAAAUAACUGGCAACAGCUGUAAUUUCUCACAGCACUUUUCAAAGGCAACUCUUCAAAAUCAGGUGAACUACUGUGGGAAAGGCCAUCCCUAACAUGGCCAUUUGGCUGCCUGUGCUCAUGGACAGCUCUGGAUGUGGACAGCUCUCAGUGUGGACAUUGGUGAUGAGAAAAAUGCUGCACCAAAGCUUCUUGAGGACCUCUUCACCUUGAAUGAGGCACUCUUGCCAGGUUAAUUGCCUGACACCAAGAAAACCUGUCUGUCGUGCUGUGCAGGUGUUUAUCUGGAAUGCUGUAUUGCUAUGGAGCUUUUGAGGAUUCUCUCUCCCUCUAACCAGUGAAGAGGAAUGAGUGAGUGGUUUUGUGGGACUGAAGUGCUGGCUGGGGUUAAGCCAUGAUACAGAAUUACAAAUGCAGGACCAUAGUGGCUCUUCAUCUUUUUGGCUUCCUACCAAAAUGCUCAUAGACUUCUUGGACAUCUUCUUGGUGAGCUGCAAAGUUAUUCUAAUGUCCUUUUCCUAAAUCAUUGCAUGGGCAAAAAUCUGUCUCCUCACAGAGCUAUUCCCUUGUGUCCAUGUCUGUGCAGGGCAGUCAUCACUUGCUCCAUUGGAAAUACAAUAUAUCUGUAAAUGCAUUGCUCACUGACAAAAUUACUUUUGUAUCUUGCUGCUCAUCAUCAGGACCAGCUCUGAAAUCAGCAAUUCUUCUGCUCAUCUCCCUCCCUCAUUGCCAGCAAGCACCCAAAGGGCACAUUAAAUAUAACCUUGGCCUCUGGUACAAAAAUAAAUCAUGGAACUUGACCCUCAUGCCAGUUAAAGAAGAAGCACUGAUUCAUAGUAACAAGUAUUUCCCCUUCCUUGAAAAGAUGCUGUGAGUGCCAGCUCCAUGAAGAAGAGCACAAAGCACGACUACCAGCCAAGUCCUGCUGAGACUCUGCAGCCUGAGGGUGUCAGAUGAGAUCUUUGCUGUUGUGUCCUGUGUCUGGCCAGGGCUGUGGUUUCCCCCGUCAGCAGCUGUCACAGGGAUUGUCUGCACAGUGCCACAGGAGCCAACAGUUGGAAAACACAUUUUAAACUCCCUGCUUCAAUUUGGUCUUUGAGGGAAACCUGCAGGGUGAUGCCUGGGUUCCCAGGAUAUCCCACUCCCAGCAAACUCUGCCAUGGCAAAACCUGUGCAUUGGGUCUCUAUCUGUGUAUGGGAAAAAAGUUCUAGUAGAAAUGGGAGUUCUUCAACUCCUUAAAUGGGACCAAGAUGGUAACAGUAAGUGGAUGUAAGUAUCUCAGUAAUUGCCAAGUAAGAACUGCUUUCAACACUGUAACACUUGGUCUGCCUUGCUGAAGGAAUGGAAUGGCUUGGAGGGUGCUUUCCUGCAGGGUCUCCCCAGUGCCUCACAGCAAACCUUGUCGGGAGCUUAUUAAUGCGGGACAAAAAGCAGCAUAUUUCCUCCUCAGAGACCAGGGAUGUCCUUUGACUUUGUGUUUAUUUCCCACAAUGAUGUCCAGCAAAAGUACCUGCAGUGUACUCGAAGAGCCUCAAGGUCUUCAUUCCUUUCACUUCCUCUCUUGGCCUUGGGAGUUUUCCCUGCCCGGAGAGGAUCAUGAAACAAACAGCAUCAGCUGUGAUUUACCGUCCCGCUCUGGGUGCUGCAAUGAGCUCCCCUCGUCAGCUCCCCGCAAUAGGGCACAUCUCCCAGAGAGAGAUCCAGAGGCUGUGGAUGCCGGGAUGCGGUCGGGGCUGGCGGUGCAGAGGCUAUGGAUCCCGGGAUGCGGUGAUGGCAGGCGAUCCAGAGGCUGUGGAUGCCGGGAUGCG